AAAAAGUCAUGUUGCUAAAACAAUGGAUUGUACAAAUGCUAUUGUAGUGCAAUGUCAACAUAAAUAAAGUACAGUG